AAAGCGCGCGUAGGUGGUUCGUUAAGUUGGAUGUGAAAUCCCCGGGCUCAACCUGGGAACUGCAUCCAAAACUGGCGAGCUAGAGUAUGGUAGAGGGUGGUGGAAUUUCCUGUGUAGCGGUGAAAUGCGUAGAUAUAGGAAGGAACACCAGUGGCGAAGGCGACCACCUGGACUGAUACUGACACUGAGGUGCGAAAGCGUGGGGAGCAAACAGGAUUAGAUACCCGGGU
rnacentral:rRNA from 1 species